GUUCUGCAGCAACAGCUAGUUCAAUAAAGCUGUGCGAAGGUGCGAAGAGGAAAAGAGGAAAGCUCCUUGCAUCCUCUCCUGCCAGCCGCGGCCCCGGCCCUCCCAUCACCCGGCCCCCUCGCCCCUUGACAGCCCAGGGACCCUGCGUCCCGGGUCCUGAGCCAGGCGGCCCCACUCGGGUUCCCGCGUCCCGGUGGCUCCCGGCGCCCCCGAGGGCGGAGACUGACGGGCAGGGGGAGGGGCGGCCUCGGCCCGCGGGCCCCCGGGGCGGCCGCACGCCCCCUCCCGGCCCGCACUUUCCCGCCUUCCCCAUUUGAACAGCUCCCGCCCGCCUUCCUCCUUCGACCCGCUCCAGCCCCUUCCCGGGGGCGGACUGCGGCCGCUACUCCAGUCCCCGGCUCAGCCCCUGGGCUAGGCCGCGACGGGCCCCGGGCGCCCUCAGGGCGGUGUCGCGGCCCGAGGCGGCGGGUGGUGGCGGGGCGGGGCCACUGCCGCCUGGGGGUGGGGGCCCAGCUCGGCCUCGUGGGGGCUCCGCUCGCCGCUACCUUCACUAGGCUCGCUCGGAUCCCGCCUCAGCGCCGCCGACCGCCGCCAUCUUGGAGAAGGAGAGAAAAGCGCGAGCGGCCAGGGAGCCUCAGUCGAGCCCAGAGCGCAGACUCCGCUUGGGAAGGGGAAUCCCGUUGGUGCAAGAGUGCCGAGCGCAUCGAAUGAGACGCUGAGCUUGCUGAGCUCCGGAGAUGUCCUGUGGUGAGAAUUUGCUCUGUGCCGGGCUUGGGCUAGAAGUUUUACGAACACGAUAGCAUUUGAUUCUCACUGCAUCCCUGUGAGGUCAUCCUUUGAGAAGAUCAAUAAAAUGGAUAAAUCUCUAGCUGGACUGAUCAGGGAGGAAAAAGAAGAGAAGACCUCAGAAACCAAGCUGCAGAAUGCACAAACACGAAAUUUUGUCUUGCUGUCCGUCUGUGUUGACACGUACACAACCAGGACGACCAGGAGUUUGGGCCUUUACCCAUCACCCUGAGGAUUUUGCCAAAAUGUCUCUCCUGAGGACACACUGGUGGAAAUUUGAUGGGGACACUGAGACCCAGAGGUGUUGGGGCCGCUGUCCAGAUGCAUCCAGCCGUGAGGAAAGCUUGGACUUGAACCAGAAUCUUCCCAUUGCUAACCCAGGACCCUCUGUCCUCUGCCCUGGGUUGCAUCUCCCCAGAGGGCUUUGGAAACACCCUGGAGAAUGAGCCGUGGGGGUGGUGACAUAGAGAACAAAACUGGCUAAGUGGUUGCCCACCCCCCACCCUGAGUCUUGUGACCCUCCAGCCCCUAGCGAGCAUCCCAGGUUGUGGAAGCAUCACACCAAAGUUCCCUGGAGGGCAGGUUACUCGAAGGUCUGGGUCAGGUGAUUCAAGGAAGGAAGAUUUCCGUGCCUGUGAUGGAACAAACUUUAAGUCUGGGUUUAAACUCAUCAGAAGUGUGCUGGGGCGGCAUUUCCCACUGCUAUAUGGAGGGGAAUGUGAGCCCAUCUACAGAAAACACUUUGCUGCCAGGGGACUUUGUGAGCUGCGCUCCUUGCUGCCCAGGGACUCUGCAGAUGAAAUCUGAUCUUCCCUUUGAGUAUAAAAUUCCAGUUCAUCAACUCAAAGCCUCCCUUUGAAAGACUGAAGAGGCUGGCGCUUUCCCUGGUCUUCAAAAGGACCCAGAAGAGGACUCUGUAAGUGUUUAUGGAAUGGAUAAGCCCUUGUCGAAUCCUGGAGACUACCUAUUCCUUUGUAAGACUCAAGGUCAACUACUGGCUUGAUAAAGCUGGAACACGCCCAG